CUUUGUUGAGGGCAGUCUCAGGCAGCAACGCUUCUGUGGUUAUGAGUUUGGUUCACGCUUGAACUUAUUGGAGUUCGUGAUCUGUAAGACCCACGUGUUUACAAGAUAAAGUUCUGUGUUUGAGCCUGAGGUCUAUGUCUCACUCAUCUGGAUGUCUUCUGUGGAGCCAAAUAUCUUGAGCAUGCUGCUCGCAAGUAGAGAGAACGAUCACAAAUACCACAUUCAUUCCUCUACUUGCCAGUAGUAAAAGUAAGUUCGUUUAAAUAUAUUAACACAUUAUUUUGGCUCAGAAUGUUUUCAAUAUAG
rnacentral:lncRNA from 1 species